ensembl:lncRNA
CAUUAAAGUCCCCGGCCACUAGGAGCGCCGCCUCAAGUGUUUUCCUGUUUGCUUAUGGCGGUAUACAGCUAAUUUAGUGUGGUUUUAGUGCCAACCUCGCUCUGUGGUGGUAUGUAGACAGCUACGAAAAAUAAAGAUACAACUCUCUAGGUAGAUAGUGUGGUCAACAGCUAUGAUGAGAUACUCUACCUCAGGCAAGCAAAACCUCAAGACUUCCAUAGAUAUUGUGCACCAGUUAUUUACAUAAAUGCAUAGGCCCCUGGAGGCUGCUGUUCUGUCUUGCUGGUGUAUUAUGUAGUGUUGUGGUGUCUCUCUCUUUAUGUAGUUGUGUGGUGUCUCUCUCUUUAUGUAGUGUUGUGGUAGAGAGACACUAUACCACUACAUAAAGAGACAACACUAUACCACUACAUAAAGAGAGAGACACUACACCACUACAUAAAGAGACAACACUAUACCACUACAUAAAGAGAGAGACACUAUACCACUACAUAAAGAGACAACACUAUACCACUACAUAAAGAGAGAGACACUACAACACUACAAAGAGAGAGACACUAUACCACUACAUAAAGAGACAACACUAUACCACUACAUAAAGAGAGAGACACUACAACACUACAUAAAGAGAGAGACACCACACCACUACAUAAAGAGAGAGACACCACACCACUACAUAAAGAGAGAGACACCACACCACUACAUAAAGAGAGAGACACCACACCACUACAUAAAGAGAGAGACACCACACCACUACAUAAAGAGAGACACCACACCACUACAUAAAGAGAGAGACACCACACCACUACAUAAAGAGAGAGACACUACAACACUACAUAAAGAGAGACACCACAACACUACAUAAAGAGAGAGACACUACACCACUACAUAAAGAGAGAGACACUACA